GUCACUCAAAUCACAUUGAGGACAAUGCUCAGUUCGGUUGGGGGGUAUGAGGAAGGAAGUAUUCUAAACCUUUUUGGUAUUGCAAUUAUAUUGGUUAAUUAGUUGUAGUUUUUACUUUUUACUCUAGUGUUACUCUAUUCUCCAUGAAUUUUGAGGAAAAAUUUUCAAAUUAAACCAAGAGAAAUUGAACUGUUGUUUUUCACUUGACUUAGAGUAUGGAUUAUGCUUACUAAAGUGGUUCAAUUGUUGAAACUUCUACUGAAAUUGAAUUGAGUUCUUCUACUUUAAGCUAUCCACACACUGUGCACAUUAGUUUCCGAUUAUAAGAUGAAAAGCUAUUUCCCUCUUGACUUAG
rnacentral:lncRNA from 1 species